rnacentral:rRNA from 1 species
GACGAACGCUGGCGGCGUGCUUAACACAUGCCAGUCGAACGGUGAAGCGCCUUCCUUUUUGGUGGGUGUGGAUGAGUGGCGAACGGGUGAGUAACACGUGAGUAACCUGCCCCCUUCUUCUGGAUAACCGCAUAAAAGUGUGGCUAAUACGGGAUAUUCUGGGUCUGUCGCAUGAUGGGUCUGGGAAAGAUAUUGUUUCGGUGGGGGAUGGGCUCGCGGCCUAUCAGCUUGUUGGUGGGGUGAUGGCCUACCAAGGCGGUGACGGGUAGCCGGCCUGAGAGGGUGGACGGCCACACUGGGACUGAGACACGGCCCAGACUCGUACGGGAGGCAGCAGUGGGGAAUAUUGCACAAUGGGCGCAAGCCUGAUGCAGCGACGCCGCGUGAGGGAUGGAGGCCUUCGGGUUGUGAACCUCUUUCGCCAGUGAAGCAGGCCUGCCUCGUUUGUGGGUGGGUUGACGGUAGCUGGAUAAGAAGCGCCGGCUAACUACGUG